UAAAUUAUAGCUUCAGAAAAAUCAACCC
rnacentral:piRNA from 1 species